rnacentral:lncRNA from 1 species
GCAGGUGAAAAUAACUUUCAUUCCUCAGAUAAGGAACACCAGAGGAAAAACUAAACUAGUUUGUGUGAUACAUGUUUAUUAUGUCUUUUAUGCGGCUCAGGAGUUGAAGAAAUCAUGAAAUGACUAUUCUAAAGGGAGCUGAAAACUUGAGUAUGCCAUGUUCUGCUACACUACAGUGCUUCAUAAAACUAUCUGAGAUGUGUCCGUGCUGAUUCUCAUGGUCUGCAAUUGGUGUCUUUCAACAAAACUGCUACCUACAUUGUCAUCUGGAGGAAACCCAGAGCAAUCACAACGAAAUACUUCUUAGAGGAAUAAAAGAGAAAGAGGUGGGAUGUAUAUAGCAAGCCAGACUGGAAGUAGAGUAAUAACAAAGUAUACAAGUGUGAUGUUUUGAAUAAGAUCUUCAGAUUCUCUAAUUCAUAAACACCUCCCAUGGCCUGCUCCCCAAGACAUAUGUCAGAUUUUAGAAAAUGAGGAGGUUUUUGCUAUAAAGCCUGCAGAAUCAGAGGUGAACUCUCAGCCAGGAUGUAUGCUAAGUAAGGAAAAACAUUAGCUGUUAUUUUAAGAUGGAAUGGACAACUGAUACUGACAGAACCUCUUUUGGACUUCAGGUAAAUAAGCAGUCCUGCCUGCAUAACAUUUCCUUAUUUCUUUUUUUAUUUUUUAACUUGCUUUAUUUUUCAAUGAAAGAAAUCACAGCUGAUGUUAGGUAUCUUGAUCAUUACUUUUCUUGUCUGAAUAACUGUCACGUUCAGGGUAGAUUGGACAUUUUACUGAACUACCCUCGCUGCAGAAAAAAAAAAAAAAAAAAAAAAAAAAAAAAAAAAAAACAGAUGCUGAUUUGGUUCCAUGCAGUGAAUAUCUUUUGCUUGGACUUCUCCAGAGAGCUACCAAAUGUCGUUUCCCGGAUUUUUGCAGAAGAUCCUGCAGUGCUGAUCAUUUUCCCGAUCUCUAGGGAAGUAACUGCAAUGUGCCAACACACUGCAUGUUGCACCUAACUGAUAGCUCAUCAGUGUUCUAUAAGGGACCUAAUACUGUGUGCUCAGCAAGGCUUGGUCAAAUAUUGGUAGCCAAGAGCCAGAUUUUCACUGAGAGAACUAAUGAACGGAUGUUUCACUGAAAGAAGUUGAAGCAGAAGUUAAACUGAGAAAGUGCUGCACGUCAAAUAUCAUCCUUUCUUGUACGAAAAAUAAUACCACUGGAUUUGACAGCUCUGCUCUGAACCAUCUCUUUCAUCAGUGCUCUGAAUGCUGGAUGGAACACUCAGCAAGUCCAAUACAAGAAAACCCCUGGGGGUUUUCUCAUCUGAGAUUGGAAAGCUGAAAGUUGCAAAAGAUGCAGUAGUGGCAGACCCACUACAGUUCUGAGGCUCUGUGCCCUUUGAUCCCAUUAUUAGAAGGAAUAUCCUCUCUCAGACAUGAAAGAUGAGGCAGAGGAACCUACAGCAGGCAAGGCAAGCUUCAGCCUAAAAAAUGCAGUGCGAAAGUGAGAAGCAAGAUUUUUCUAAGUACUCCGUCCCCAUGGGUAUCUCUGUGAUUGAAAGAAGACUUCAGUGAACUGAAGAGGCAUGACUCUGCUUCAGUGACAGAAUCUUUAGAAUAGCAGAUCAGAAUUUACAGCCAGGUCCCAGAAUCAAGUACAACUGCAGUGGUAAGCCAGGAUGAUUCGUGCUGCUGUGUAAUGAGAGAAAUCAUGCAUCUUUGGCUAUUCAUGGGCCUGAAAUACAGCCUCCUGCAGCUGAUAAGGUAUAAUGGCUUUCAGUGAGCUUCAGCACCUCUGAACUGAAUGCAGCGGAGACCCAACAUGACUGAAGUUUCCAAGUCCAACUGUAAGCAUUUUUCCUUAUCAAUGCCUAACUUACUGUCCACUGUCGCAGUGCACUGAAGAUGCUGAAAAGGAGAAUGCCAAUAGGAAGCUUCACAGGAGGUGUUUGCUAUCAGUAGAGAGACUGAAAAAAGGGGAGUACGAGUAUGUAGAUGGAAACAUAAAGUGAGAUUUAGUUGUGGAUGAGUAAAUAAAAAUACACUAAAAGCUGGCAAAAUGAGGCUCGCAGGACAGCUCCCCUUCUCCCAGACACAUUUCAUCUCAGAUACAGAUUCAAAACUGUACCCAGGAUGACAGUUGCAGACUUCACUGGUACCCCCACAGCAUCUUCAAUGCAGGUUGAUGCCAGUGGUGACAGCCCAGAGCUCGGCGCAAGCUUUUUCAGACACUUUCUUGGAUAUCCUUUUUUCUUCAAGACAAACGAAUGGAGAAAAACAGAAAACUCCAGACUGUCACUGCAUUCACCAGGCUGGACUCUCAUCCAAGAUGUCAUUUCUCUCGAGCUGCUUGUUGGUGUACGGGAACUGUUGAAUCACGGCCUGAACCUCUGAUUGAUCACCUGAGGUGAGCACCGAGUCAGUCACGGGUUUAGGAGUUUUCUUGUGAGCCUACAACACCGGUGAGCAUUUUUCCAUUUAUUUCCAAUUAUCUUUUCCAAUGUGAUAAUCUUUCUGGCUAUACGCUCUCGAAAGACCAGCCUAACUUCUCUGUAUACUUACUGGUUAUACAUCUAUAUACUCAUUCAUUAUGCAGAUGGAACAGCAACUUCUGGCAUUUGGCAACUUACAUCCAUUGAAAUUUGAUGCAAAACUUCUACUCAAGCUAACAGAGACCAGUCCUCCCCUGGACUGUAUGAGAGGGUUCUCCUGCCUUUUAGCAAGAUUUGGUUCCCAAUCUGCUCACUGAAGGCAGCAAUUGCAGUCCAAGAAGAAGGAACCAUGGCAUUUUUUAUGUCCGCUGUCUGUCUAUGGAGGCAGGUCACGUAUACAUGAACUACCUAAGGAUAGUUAGAGCAUGCCAACAUAAACAUCAAUAAAAACAGUGGUGAACCAGCCACUGAUCUAGUCUUGACAAGAGAGUAGGUAAAGUAAAAUGGCAGAUAAAAAUGAAGAAAGUAAAUGUGAAAUGAUUAAGAUGAGGAAAAACAGGAACUGUAACUCCACAUGUAAUGUAAUGGACUAUAAACUACUGCUGAACACAGCUUCCAGGAUAAUGCACAAUGCAUGAGAACAUCAACUCAGAGAUCCAGAAAAUGAAGCCAAAGGCAGUUUCUGAUUUCGUAUUUGGUCUGUCCUAAGCAUAUGUUUUUGGUCAUGGCUAAAGAGAGGGUACUGAUACUGGAAUGCUUGGUUUUGACCAGUAUAACUACUUCUAAUGUUUUUCCCAACAUGCCUCAGUGAAUUAAGUAUAAUGCAUUGUUUUGCAUCAAAUACAACUACAUUUUAUAUGUGGUGAUGCAGUUUCUUCAGUAAAUUGUGUAUUAAAAAAACCUUCCAUAAAU